UUCGUUUAUUAUUCCUCUACACUGUCAGGUGUUCGUUUAUUAUUCCUCUACACUGUCAGGUGUUCGUUUAUUAUUCCUCUACACUGUCAGGUGUUCGUUUAUUAUUCCUCUACACUGUCAGGUGUUUGUUUAUUAUUCCUCUACACUGUCAGGUGUUAGUUUAUUAUUCCUCUACACUGUCAGGUGUUCGUUUAUUAUUCCUCUACACUGUUAGGUGUUUGUUUAUUAUUCCUCUACACUGUCAGGUGUUCGUUUAUUAUUCCUCUACACUGUCAGGUGUUAGUUUAUUAUUCCUCUACACUGUCAGGUGUUUGUUUAUUAUUCCUCUACACUGUCAGGUGUUUGUUUAUUAUUC